rnacentral:rRNA from 1 species
CCCUUAGAUGUUCUGGGCUGCACGCGCGCUACACUGAUGCGAUCAACAAGUUUUUCCUAUGUCGAUAGACACGGGUAAUCUUUUGAACUCGCAUCGUGAUGGGGAUAGAUUAUUGUAAUUAUUAAUCUUCAACGAGGAAUUCCUAGUAGGUGCAAAUCAUCAGUUUGCAUCGAUUACGUCCCUGCCCUUUGUACACACCGCCCGUCGCUGCUACCGAUUGGUUGAUCUGGUGAAUUAUUCGGACUGCCGGCUGAAGGGGUUUCCUCAUCUGCCAGCGGAAAGUCUUGUUAACCCUAUCAACUAGAGGAAGCACAAGUCGUAACA